rnacentral:rRNA from 1 species
UACGGGGGGGGGCAAGCGUUGUUCGGAAUUACUGGGCGUAAAGGGCUCGUAGGCGGCCAACUAAGUCCGACGUGAAAUCCCCAGGCUUAACCUGGGAACUGCGUCGGAUACUGGAUGGCUUGAAUCCGGGAGAGGGAUGCGGAAUUCCAGGUGUAGCGGUGAAAUGCGUAGAUAUCUGGAGGAACACCGGUGGCGAAGGCGGCAUCCUGGACCGGCAUUGACGCUGAGGCGCGAAAGCUAGGGGAGCAAACGGG